rnacentral:lncRNA from 10 species
CUGGGGUGAGCACAUCAUUUAGAUUUCCUCACAUGAUCUUUUAAUUCACUCCCCGGCUUCUGUGGUUUCCUUCCAUGGGGAGCGAGCUCAGCCUGCUGAGACACUCCCGGCUCUUCACCUCAGUACAUCUUUAGAGGGAGAAGCAUCUGAGUGGGGAAUUGGGAGGAGAAACUGGGCAUGCACGGCCCUCCCUGUUCCCACCACCUCCUCCCCUUUGGGGGCUUCACUGUCUCACUCUAUGAGCUUUACAGGGGCUGUGAAGAUCCAGGGAUCCUGGCGGCCAGAAUUUGGAAACCAUCUACUCACCGUUCUUGUUCCUGUGAAUCAAGUGGUGAGCUGCAGCUUGGAAGAAACAAAAAGUGAUGCAACAUCUGGUGGAGGCAAACCAGUGUUACAACCCAUUGGAAUGGCUGACAGCAAUCAAACUCCAAACAGUGCUGCAGACCAAACCACGCAUGAACACGCCUUUCUUCCGAGGACCCUUAGAUCAACCCCAGGAGGAGCCCUAAGUGCUGUUCCCCACAUUACGCCCCUUUUCAGUGACUUGGGGAUGAGAUGGAGGCUCAUUCAUUAGAGCUCCCAACUCUACCCUACUGAAAAAGAAGCCCCCACACAAGAUGACAAAGGAAAAAGCAAGGAGGGGCCUUGAAGAAGCAUGACCUGGACUUCAACUGAUUGAAUGAAGCCCCCACACUGAGGAGGACAAUCUGCUUUACUCCGUCUACAGAUUCCAACAUUAAUCUCAUCCAAAAACACGCUCACAGAUAAACCAGAGUAACAUUUGGCCAUCAUCUGGGUACCUUGGGGCCCAGUCAAGUUAACACAUAAAAGUCACCCUCUCCGUGGAAAAAACCUAGGAAAAGAACCAAUAUGCACUUAAUGUAAUCAUGUGCUUGGCAUUAUACAUGGCUGUCUCCAAUGGCACACAGCCGGAUGUGGUAGGUGCCUAGUUUGGUUGACUCUACAGGCAGUGGUUUUUCCACGGUGCCUGCCUUGGAUGAUUCCAAAUGCAGCCUUCUCCCAGGAAGCCUAUGAGGUAAGACGAUGUCCAAUGGCAGCAGAUACCCAGGGCACCAUUUGAAACAGGAGUGUGUGACACAGACCUGCUGGAGACUGUAGUGCCAGCAUCAGACCUCACUCAAGAAGUUGCAUCCAAGUGCCUGCCUGGUUGUCCUGAUUGCUUCCUCUUUUCAGGGAGCUUAUAUGCAGAAUCCCACAUCAAAGGCACACAAGGAAAAGGCAGAUACUGGGUAAUUUGUGAAGUGGAAAAGUCAGGUUUUAGCUCCUUUGCCCUCUCAAGCUGAGAAGGCUCACACUUCCUCUUGACCCACUUGUACCCUGUUGGCAUGCCUGUCCUGUUCCUCAGGCCUUUAAGGUACCAGGUGUCACAUGGUUUAUCUAACGAACUCACCUGAGUUCCUGGAGCUCAGCAAGAGAACCAGGGAAGCAGCAUUAAAUGAGGUUUUCUAGAGCCAAGAUCAGCACCUGGCAUGCAACCUUCAAGUGAUUCCUACCCUGAGAACUUCAAGCCAAGGGGCAUGGGACCAGCCCAUAGGGAGAAGAGACCAUUUGGUAUCCUUCAGAUCACAUUCUGGCAGCGCUGGGAACCACACUUCAGGCUCCUGUGACUCCAACCUGUUGGCUUUUGCCUUAAAGGAAUUCCCUUACUAUCACUUACCCUCAAACACAGGCUCCUCCGAGGCUUGAACAGAGAGGUGGAAUCUUUACUCCCUCAUGCAGCCAGUGACAGCUGUACAAGUGGCCCCCGGACAAGUGCCUCUAAGAUUUCACUUCUUUGGAGCCUCCCACUUUAUCUCAUCCCCAACCCUUGCUACGACCACCAUAUCCAGAUGUGAGGAGGUAAGAACUUAACCCUGUUUACAAGAAAGACAAAGAAGGUAUUUUUCAGGCGCUCACCUGGCCCCACUCCUUGAAUGCUGGUUAUAAAGAACUCACCCUUGAGGCUGAUGUUGAGCAGAGCCAAGGCCGGCCUAACUGUGGGAUAGAAGCAGCUUGGAUCUGGGGUAGGAAGAGUUCUAGCAGAGCAGCUGCUCAGCCCUGAGCUGGAGAAGUGUUCAGAAAGAAGAGGCGGGGAGCUUUAGAACAGUGGUCCAGUCUGCAUGGACAUCACAGGUAUCCCUUGCAUUAAGACAGAGAUCAAUUAGGAACUGUCUAAUGCAUCAUAAAAGAAAUCUUCACUUGAUAAAAAGGAGAAUGACCAGAACGUUCCCUGAAUAACGGCCACCACCACUCUCUCCAAACCCCCACCCACUUAAAGCACAUUCCAGCUUUGGGACAACCCUCAGGACAGCAUUUUCACGACCACGCACCCAUCCUGUUGGAUCUCUCAGGAAUCUGCGGACACCAAGAACGUUUUAGGAUAAGCCAGGCUGGGUGGAUCUCAAGAAAUGGGCUCUGCUAAACAAACCCAGAAGGCACUUUCCAUAAGUAACAGCAGAAAUGCCACAAUGCAAAUUGUGACAAAUCGGACCAGCUACUGUGAGACUGGGAGGAGUGUUUUAUUCUUUCCUUUAUGUAUUUCAUUUUUGAGCAUCUCAGUCAGCCUAGGAUGGAGCUGAGCUGACAGUGGGGUAGAAGAGAUGGUGGGCAAACAACUCAGAGCCAAGGAUAGAAAGUCGAGAGGAGGGAGCUGAAGGAGAAACAGCUAGGGGGAAACAAAAAAGCCAGGGACUGUGUGGGACUUGCUGCUCAGGAGCUGAACUUGCAGCUUUGACAAAGCUGACUUUAAGCCGACCUUCAGCGGCGCUUCUUAGCAAUGUACACCGGGCAAUCGCUGGUAAAUCUUUAUUAAUUUUAAUUGGCGGCACCCAUUUAUAAGAACCAUUAAAAAGGAUAAAUUGAGCCC